ACAGGGAUUCCCCUAGUAACGGCGAGUGAAGCGGGAACAGCUCAAAUUUGAAAUCUGGCCCUUGGGUCCGAGUUGUAAUUUGUAGAGGAUGCUUUUGGUGCGGUGCCUUCCGAGUUCCCUGGAACGGGACGCCUUAGAGGGUGAGAGCCCCGUACGGUUGGACGCCUAGCCUCUGUAAAGCUCCUUCGACGAGUCGAGUAGUUUGGGAAUGCUGCUCUAAAUGGGAGGUAUAUUUCUUCUAAAGCUAAAUACUGGCCAGAGACCGAUAGCGCACAAGUAGAGUGAUCGAAAGAUGAAAAGCACUUUGAAAAGAGGGUUAAAUAGCACGUGAAAUUGUUGAAAGGGAAGCGUUUAUCACCAGACUUUUUCUGGGGGGAUCAUCCGGUGUUCUCACCGGUGCACUUCCCCCAGUUGAGGCCAGCAUCGGUUUUCGGAGGGGGAUAAAAGCUUCGGGAAUGUGACUCCCUCGGGAGUGUUAUAGCCCGUUGCAUAAUACCCUUCUGGGGACCGAGGUUCGCGCAUCUGCAAGGAUGCUGGCAUAAUGGUGAUCAACGACCCGUCUUGAAACACGGACCAAGGAGUCGAACAUUUAUGCGAGUGUUUGGGUGUCAAACCCUCACGCGUAAUGAAAGUGAACGGAGGUGAGAGCCCUUACGGGUGCAUCAUCGACCGAUCCUGAUGUCUUCGGAUGGAUUUGAGUAAGAGCAUAACUGUUCGGACCCGAAAGAUGGUGAACUAUGCGUGGAUAGGGUGAAGCCAGGAGAAAUCCUGGUGGAGGCUCGCAGCGGUUCUGACGUGCAAAUCGAUCGUCAAAUCUGCGCAUGGGGGCGAAAGACUAAUCGAACCAUCU
rnacentral:rRNA from 1 species